rnacentral:rRNA from 1 species
CUGAAGAACUGUAAUGUCAUUAAUUUGGUGUUGCAGGGAAACAGGACUGUUACUUUGAAAAAAUUAGAGUGUUUAAAGCAGGCUAACGCUUGAAUACAUUAGCAUGGAAUAAUGAAAUAGGACGUUCGAUCCUAUUUUGUUGGUUUCUAGGAUUGACGUAAUGAUUAAUAGGGAUAGUUGGGGGCAUUAGUAUUCAAUUGUCAGAGGUGAAAUUCUUGGAUUUAUUGAAGACUAACUACUGCGAAAGCAUUUGCCAAGGAUGUUUUCAUUAAUCAAGAACGAAAGUUAGGGGAUCGAAGACGAUCAGAUACCGUCGUAGUCUUAACCAUAAACUAUGCCGACUAGGGAUCGGAUGAUGUUAAUUUUUUAAUGACUCAUUCGGCGCCUUACG